rnacentral:rRNA from 1 species
GGGAUAACAGUUAGAAAUGACUGCUAAUACCGCAUAAGCGCACAGGAUUGCAUGAUCUGGUGUGAAAAACUCCGGUGGUAUAAGAUGGACCCGCGUCUGAUUAGCUGGUUGGUGAGGUAACGGCCCACCAAGGCGACGAUCAGUAGCCGACCUGAGAGGGUGACCGGCCACAUUGGGACUGAGACACGGCCCAAACUCCUACGGGAGGCAGCAGUGGGGAAUAUUGCACAAUGGGGGAAACCCUGAUGCAGCGACGCCGCGUGAGCGAAGAAGUAUUUCGGUAUGUAAAGCUCUAUCAGCAGGGAAGAAAAAAAUGACGGUACCUGACUAAGAAGCCCCGGCUAACUACGUGCCAGCAGCCGCGGUAAUACGUAGGGGGCAAGCGUUAUCCGGAUUUACUGGGUGUAAAGGGAGCGCAGGCGGUGCGGCAAGUCUGAUGUGAAAGCCCGGGGCUCAACCCCGGGACUGCAUUGGAAACUGUCGUACUUGAGUAUCGGAGAGGUAAGUGGAAUUCCUAGUGUAGCGGUGAAAUGCGUAGAUAUUAGGAGGAACACCAGUGGCGAAGGCGGCUUACUGGACGAUAACUGACGCUGAGGCUCGAAAGCGUGGGGAGCAAACAGGAUUAGAUACCCUGGUAGUCCACGCCG